rnacentral:lncRNA from 1 species
GGGCGGUACAGGCCGUAGCCCAGGCGAUGAUGCCGAGGGGUCCCAAGUGUCUCUGCGGUGGCAGGAGGUGCGAUGGGUGCGACGGAGCGAUGCCCAGCGAGGGCCAUGCCCAGCCAGCCCUUCCUCGCCCAAGAACCUGCGGGCAGCGGGGAACAGGCACCGUGCCAGGGCUCCGCGUGCCGACCAAGGAGGGGCCGAGCCCCACCAGCCCCGUCAGCCCAGCCGCCGUGCGGCCCCCGCCCGUGGUGGGCGGGCGGAGGCGGCGCUGCAGCGCCCGGCGGGGCUCGGCGCUGCGACGGGAGCGGUCGGAGCGCAGCGGAGCGGCCGCGAUGGGCGCCCCGGGCACGGCGGCGGAGCGGCGGCGACCGCGGCGGCGGCGGGGGCAGCUGCUGCGGGGGCAGCUGUGCACGCUGGCCGCGCUGGCCCUGCUUCUGGCCGGCUGCGUGGCCGGGCGUGGCGGUUACGAUGCCCUGAGAUAUUCUGUGGAAAAUGGUGACAAGUGGAGUGGGCGACAGCUCCUGCAAGCACGUGAGCAGAACAUGACUGACAUCCCAGAGGAUGGGGAGCAGCUCUAUGUCAGAAACUGCACUGAACCAGAUCCAUGA